CCAAACAAAAAAAAAAAAAAAAAAAAAAAAAAAAAAAAAAAAAAAA
rnacentral:ribozyme from 13 species